ACCAGACUCCUACGGGAGGCAGCAGUCGGGAAUAUUGCACAAUGGAGGAAACUCUGAUGCAGUGACGCCGCGUGCAGGAAGAAGGUUUUCGGAUUGUAAACUGCUUUAGACAGGGAAGAAACAAGACAGUACCUGUAGAAUAAGCUCCGGCUAACUCCGUGCCAGCAGCCGCGGUAAUACGGAGGAUGCGAGCGUUAUCCGGAUUUAUUGGGUUUAAAGGGUGCGCAGGCGGUCUGUUAAGUCAGCGGUCAAAGCCGGGGGCUCAACCUCGCUCCGCCGUUGAAACUGGCGUUCUUGAGUGGGCGAGAAGUAUGCGGAAUGCGUGGUGUAGCGGUGAAAUGCAUAGAUAUCACGCAGAACUCCGAUUGCGAAGGCAGCAUACCGGCGCCCAACUGACGCUGAAGCACGAAAGCGUGGGUAUCGAACAGGAUUAGAUACCCGAGUA
rnacentral:rRNA from 1 species